rnacentral:rRNA from 1 species
AAUUUUCCGCAAUGGGCGAAAGCCUGACGGAGCAACGCCGCGUGAGGGAAGAAGGUCUUCGGAUCGUAAACCUUUGUCUUUGGGGACGAUAAUGACGGUACCCAAGGAGGAAGCCACGGCUAACUACGUGCCAGCAGCCGCGGUAAUACGUACGUGGCGAGCGUUGUCCGGAAUUACUGGGCGUAAAGGGCGUGUAGGCGGCUAUUUAAGUCAGAUGUGAAAUCCCAGGGCUUAACCCUGGAACUGCAUUUGAGACUGGAUGGCUUGAGGAUCGGAGAGGGCAGUGGAAUUCCCAGUGUAGCGGUGAAAUGCGUAGAUAUUGGGAGGAACACCAGUGGCGAAGGCGGCUCACUGGCUCGAUACUGACGCUGAGGUGCGAAAGCGUGGGGAGCAAACAGG